CCUGGCCUCUCCGGUUUAGUCCGUACAUCGGGUUUAUCGCUGCUUAAUCCGUCGGCGGGUUCCCUUGAUCGCCGAGUUAGGGUUUACCGGCCGCCGACAAAGCGCACACCGUGGGGCCGUGCGUUGUUUGACGGCCGAAAUACGGCGCCCCGCUCUUCUGGCCUCUGACGAGGCGAUGCAUCUUAAUUCGAGUUCGAGGGUUUUGUGAGAUUUUGGGGGCGGCUCUGGUUGCUUGCCGGCCACCGCGCCAUUUCCGGCGCUUGCUUACAACUUUGACCCGGCCGUGGUACUACGUGUGGUGCGUACUGUGGAGGCGGUUGUGUGAUAUAUGAUGGGAUCUUUUAUUAACAAAUUAUAAUCUCUGAACAGGGGGGAAAUACGUCCUUACCAACCAAAUUACUCGUGGCACCGGGGAAAUGUGCUAUUCAGUACGUUUGGUUUGGAUUUGAUCUGCUAACAUUCAUAGUCGCAUCGUCUUGUUGCAUUGCACGAAUAAAUGUUGACGGAAGGUGUCGACAAGAUUAGUUAUAGCUGCAAUUUUCUUAUGUGCAAGUUCUCGGUUUCAGGUCUGCCUUGCCUCAAGUCUCAACAUGUUCUAUUUUUAGGAAGAGACAAAAUAUGUUUGGCUUCCUCAAUCCCUCAGAGCAAUUAUCCUGACCAAGAAACCUUUAGAGAAUACUUCAUGGAGAAAAUAGCUUCAUGCUUUCAUUUACAUUCUGUUGAGAGCAAAUAUGUGCAAAUGAAAACCAGGGCAAACAUCCUCCUUCAUAUAACUGAUAAGCUUUGAUGAUGUUUGAAUAGUCCUAAGUGGUGUAUUGGAAGCUGCAGAAGGCUUACACCUUUGAUGGCGAGCAGCCGAAUGUCCAACGCUUGACGCCUCACAUCGAAACUGAAGCACGUAUGUGCUACAGUCUGCUUGGCGGGACUUCUAGCCGUACUUCCCUAAGGGGCAACUGCAAUCAGUGGCAGGGCCACCUCCAGGCAAACCUAGGCAGCUUCCCAGGCAUGACUGGAGAUCAUCCGCUGAGAAGUGGUAUGAUCCAAGAGGUUGAAGAUGGUGUUUUUUUGCAGAAGUUUACUCACCUAGCCACAGUCAGGCUUGCCCAGGCUCAAAGUCCGGCUGGCUCCGCCACAGAAAUGCAGUGUCCGAUUGUCAGGUUUCAGAAUGGUUGAGCACGUCCAAAACUAUGAUGUGCUGGAGAAGUGUACAAAAGAUAUUCUCUCCAUAAUCAAGCCAACAGAGGACGAUCGGAACAAACGACUGCAUGCAAUUCAGGAGAUUGUGAAUUCCAUCUAUUUAGUUGGUGGCUUAGGCGGUAACUUCUCAGUAUCUGAUGCCGCUGUCAAACCUUUUGGAUCCUUUCUAUCAGAACUCUAUGCAAAAUCAGGCGAUUUGGAUGUAUCAGUUGAGCUGCCAAAUGUCUCAGGCUUCUCUACAAGCAAGGAAAAGAAGCAAAAUCUCUUGAGAAAACUAAUGAAAGCUUUACAAAUUAGUGGUAACUUCUUUUAGAUCCAUGCACCUGUGAUCAUAAUGAAAGAUCUUGUACCCUAGUGAUGUAUACGUUUGAUCAAUCUAUUCAAGACCACCCUCUUGAUUUUUGGUUGCUUCAGAUGUCCGGAUCAUUUUUCUGAUACAAUCAUGUUCCGGGGUUGUUUGAUUGAAUGCAAUACCUUUUGAUGUCUUUACGGAUGUACUUAUUUAAAUUUUGUGAUCAAUUUUGAAAGAACAAUCUUAUAUUUAAUUAUAUUUCCAUACUUUAUUUAAGUGUUGCUAGAGAUGUGAACUUCAUUCCUACUGCAAGAGUUCCAGUCCUUCAAUAUGUGAGCAACCACUUUGGCAUUUCCUGUGAUAUAUCCAUCAAUAACUACCCUGGUCGAAUUAAAUCCAAAGUGUUGUACUGGAUCAAUACCUUAGACAGCCGCUUUGGUGAUUUGGUUUUAUUGGUCAAGGAAUGGGCAAAAGCUCAAAACAUUAAUGAUCCAAAAAAUGGAACCCUGAACUCCUAUUCGCUUUGCUUACUUGUCCUUUUUCAUUUUCAGACAUGCAAGCCUGCAAUUUUACCACCUAUGAAAGAGUUUUUUGAUUUUAACAUUCUAGGAGAAAUUGGGCCUUAUAAUGAAAAAAUUGUUGAUGAGAUCUGUGCCACAAAUAUAGCAAAAUUUCGACGCCAGAACAUAGGGCAAAGAAAUCAGAGCUCUCUGUCUCAUCUCCUUGCAACCUUUUUUGAGAAGUACUGUUUGCAGUUUGGGCGUAUUGUUGUCCAUUCUAGUGAGGUUGUAUCCACUUACACGGGUCGGCUCCUGCGAAAACAAGGCGGCCUAUACUGGAUGACCAAAUCUUACUGCUUGUUUGUUGAAGAUCCAUUUCAGAGACCUGAUAAUGCAGCUAGAACAGUUGAUGUGCCAGAGCUUCAGCGUAUUGUUAGAGCCUUCGAACAUGCUAAAAGUACAAUCUCCUCCAGUAGGCUGGCCGGCCGGAAUGAAUUGCUUUCGCUGCUGUGCACACCUGAAGUUGGUUCAAAACUAGGUGCGAGAGGCACGGCAAACCGUUACGCAAAUCCUGCGACGACUUCAGAUCGUCAAGCUAAUGUGCAUGAUGUGACUGCAAUGUUUGAUGGGCUUUGGCGUGGACGUCUCCACAAUGGUUCCGCAUCCAGCUCGCGAUCCCAAGCAUCAUCCAGCAGGACAGCAGGGCAAUAUCGGUAGCAAGCCAACGAUAUCCACCGACAGGUAGUCCCAGGGUAGCAGCAGAUGAUCUUUCAGCUUUUCUACCAGUAGUGUGUACCAAGUAUGUUUAAUUAGUAAGCUUUUGCCCGACGAUCUGCAUCCUUUUAUGUUACUUGACCUAGUUCCCAGCCGGCCUCAUGUGCUUGAGCCCGUGGUCAUGUGGAUUGUAGGAUCCAAAACUUGUAGUUUCGGUUGACAGAACCUUCUUUGAAAUUCCUCGCUAUGCGUGCAAGUGCUAUGAAUUCAAAGAAGACGAGGAGGACCAUGUAUGUACUAUG